AGUUAUUUCCUGGGGAUAGUUUGUCUUGAAAAUAAACUUGAAGUGUUCGAUUCACUUGAUAACUU
rnacentral:tRNA from 1 species